GACGAACGCUGGCGGCGUGCUUAACACAUGCUAGUCGAACGGAAAGGCCCUGCUUUUGUGGGGUGCUCGAGUGGCGAACGGGUGAGUAACACGUGAGUAACCUGCCCUUGACUUUGGGAUAACUUCAGGAAACUGGGGCUAAUACCGGAUAGGAGCUCCUGCUGCAUGGUGGGGGUUGGAAAGUUUCGGCGGUUGGGGAUGGACUCGCGGCUUAUCAGCUUGUUGGUGGGGUAGUGGCUUACCAAGGCUUUGACGGGUAGCCGGCCUGAGAGGGUGACCGGCCACAUUGGGACUGAGAUACGGCCCAGACUCCUACGGGAGGCAGCAGUGGGGAAUAUUGCACAAUGGGCGGAAGCCUGAUGCAGCAACGCCUCGUGCGGGAUGACGGCCUUCGGGUUGUAAACCGCUUUCGCCUGUGACGAAGCGUGAGUGACGGUAAUGGGUAAAGAAGCACCGGCUAACUACGUGCCAGCAGCCGCGGUGAUACGUAGGGUGCGAGCGUUGUCCGGAUUUAUUGGGCGUAAAGGGCUCGUAGGUGGUUGAUCGCGUCGGAAGUGUAAUCUUGGGGCUUAACCCUGAGCGUGCUUUCGAUACGGGUCGACUUGAGGAAGGUAGGGGAGAAUGGAAUUCCUGGUGGAGCGGUGGAAUGCGCAGAUAUCAGGAGGAACACCAGUGGCGAAGGCGGUUCUCUGGGCCUUUCCUGACGCUGAGGAGCGAAAGCGUGGGGAGCGAACAGGCUUAGAUACCCUGGUAGUCCACGCUGUAAACGGUGGGUACUAGGUGUGGGGUCCAUUCCACGGGUUCCGUGCCGUAGCUAACGCUUUAAGUACCCCGCCUGGGGAGUACGGCCGCAAGGCUAAAACUCAAAGGAAUUGACGGGGCCCCGCACAAGCGGCGGAGCAUGCGGAUUAAUUCGAUGCAACGCGUAGAACCUUACCUGGGUUUGACAUGGAUCGGGAGUGCUCAGAGAUGGGUGUGCCUCUUUUGGGGUCGGUUCACAGGUGGUGCAUGGCUGUCGUCAGCUCGUGUCGUGAGAUGUUGGGUUAAGUCCCGCAACGAGCGCAACCCUUGUUCACUGUUGCCAGCACGUUAUGGUGGGGACUCAGUGGAGACCGCCGGGGUCAACUCGGAGGAAGGUGGGGAUGACGUCAAGUCAUCAUGCCCCUUAUGUCCAGGGCUUCACGCAUGCUACAAUGGCUGGUACAGAGAGUGGCGAGCCUGUGAGGGUGAGCGAAUCUCGGAAAGCCGGUCUCAGUUCGGAUUGGGGUCUGCAACUCGACCUCAUGAAGUCGGAGUCGCUAGUAAUCGCAGAUCAGCAACGCUGCGGUGAAUACGUUCCCGGG
rnacentral:rRNA from 1 species